ACGGGCGAGAUAAGACGGAUUAGCGGCGGACGGGUGAGUAACACGUGAGUAACCUGCCUUUUACACAGGGAUAGCCUCGGAAACCGGGAUUAAAACCUGAUGAAACUAUCAAAUCACAUGAUUAAGAAAGUUAAAACUCCGGUGGUAAAAGAUGGACUCGCGUCCCAUUAGCUAGUUGGUGAAGGUAACGGCCCACCAAGGCAACGAUGGGUAGCCGGCCUGAGAGGGUGAACGGCCACAUUGGAACUGAGAAACGGUCCAAACUCCUACGGGAGGCAGCAGAU
rnacentral:rRNA from 1 species